GAAAGAUUUAGUGUCUCCUAAGACCCCAGUGCAGAGAACAGUAAGGACGGUCUUAGGUAGGCCCAGGACACUAAGACCCCAGUGCAGAGAACAGUAAGGACGGUCUUAGAUAGGCCCAGGACAACUAGAAAACCAUCUUUUCACAACCACCACUGUAUCUUCCACAUUUUGGAGGGUGUUAAAUUAAUGCAAUCUGCAUUCUUUGUUAUCUUAUGGUUAUCUUCAAGUUUUAGUAACAAACAUUUGAUAAGUCUUCUGUAAACCUUAAAACAAGGUUAAUAAAUACUUUGUAUAACUGAUUACCACACAUGAUUUCAGCUCUCAGCUGAGCAUGGUGGUACACACUUUUAAUCCCAGCACUUGGGAGGUAGAGGCAUGUGGAUCUCCCUGUGUUUAAAGCCAGCCUGGUCUACACAGUGAGUUCCAGGGCUACGUAGAGACACUGUGAUGGAGUAACAGAAGUCUUUGGUACAGUGAACCUGUCAUUUAGAUUUCAUUAAUUUCUGGUUUUAGUGGAGUCAACUGUAGUUUUCUGGAAGAAGUAGCUAAAAGGCAAUAGAAUCAUUCACAGUUGUCCAUGUGACAGUCUCGCUUGACAAGCGAUCUUAAGAAUGAAAGCAACCUCUGAUGGUCAUCUUGCUUAUGACAGCAUUG
rnacentral:lncRNA from 1 species